AUUGAACGCUGGCGGCAUGCCUUACACAUGCAAGUCGAACGGUAACGCGGGGCAACCUGGCGACGAGUGGCGAACGGGUGAGUAAUAUAUCGGAACGUGCCCAGUUGUGGGGGAUAACUGCUCGAAAGAGCAGCUAAUACCGCAUACGACCUGAGGGUGAAAGCGGGGGAUCGCAAGACCUCGCGCAAUUGGAGCGGCCGAUAUCAGAUUAGGUAGUUGGUGGGGUAAAGGCCUACCAAGCCGACGAUCUGUAGCUGGUCUGAGAGGACGACCAGCAAAACUGGGACUGAGACACGGCCCAGACUCCUACGGGAGGCAGCAGUGGGGAAUUUUGGACAAUGGGGGCAACCCUGAUCCAGCCAUGCCGCGUGCGGGAAGAAGGCCUUCGGGUUGUAAACCGCUUUUGUCAGGGAAGAAAAGACUCCUACUAAUACUGGGGGUUCAUGACGGUACCUGAAGAAUAAGCACCGGCUAACUACGUGCCAGCCGCCGCGGUAA
rnacentral:rRNA from 1 species